rnacentral:rRNA from 1 species
RACGCGAACUCGUUUAUAAAAACCUCGGGGAGGCAGGGCUCGUCCCUGUCCCUCGAAACCGGCGUGUUCCUUCCCCAUCUCCCUUGCAAGGGGGCGAUGGGUGGGAGCACGUCGGCAUGUACCCCAACACCGGCGCGGGUUGCGCCAAGGACCAACAAUUCUAUCGCGUCCCGCCUCCCUCGGGCGACCGAGGGGGGUCGGCGAUGGCGUGUCGAUAUAUAUAACAAAACGACUCUCGGCAACGGAUAUCUCGGCUCUCGCAUCGAUGAAGAACGUAGCGAAAUGCGAUACUUGGUGUGAAUUGCAGAAUCCCGUGAACCAUCGAGUCUUUGAACGCAAGUUGCGCCCGAAGCCAUUUGGCCGAGGGCACGUCUGCCUGGGCGUCACGCAUCGYGUCGCCCCCUCCCACCCCAUCUGGGACUGGAGAGGGGCGGAUUCUGGCCCCCCGUGUGCCCCGCGCGCGGUCGGCCUAAAUACGGAGCCUGCGGCCGCAAAUGCCGCGACGAUUGGUGGUUGAAGCAUCGCGUCGCGUGCUCGAGCGGACUACCCAGAGCUCGGAGGACCCUUUGCGACCCCAGGUCAGGCGGGACUACCCGCUGAGUUUAAGCAUAUCAAUAAGCGGAGG